CCCAGGGCAUUUCUGUGCCUCUCCCUCUCCCCACCCAUUCAAGAAGACAAUGGAGGCUUUGUUUUAUACCCUAGAGCAGCAUUUCUCAAAUGCAGCCACAGAGGCUUCUCUUGUGGCCACAGCCAUCUGGGCAGUGAUUGGAGGGGUGGGGGGAGAACUGCAA